rnacentral:tRNA from 1 species
UACAAGAUGGUUGAGAUUAAAACAUUAAACUGUAAAUUUAAAAACGGGCCUAGCCCUCUUGUUGA